rnacentral:rRNA from 1 species
GACGAACGCUGGCGGCGUGCCUAAUACAUGCAAGUCGAGCGGACAGAAGGGAGCUUGCUCCCGGAUGUUAGCGGCGGACGGGUGAGUAACACGUGGGUAACCUGCCUGUAAGACUGGGAUAACUCCGGGAAACCGGAGCUAAUACCGGAUAGUUCCUUGAACCGCAUGGUUCAAGGAUGAAAGACGGUUUCGGCUGUCACUUACAGAUGGACCCGCGGCGCAUUAGCUAGUUGGUGAGGUAACGGCUCACCAAGGCGACGAUGCGUAGCCGACCUGAGAGGGUGAUCGGCCACACUGGGACUGAGACACGGCCCAGACUCCUACGGGAGGCAGCAGUAGGGAAUCUUCCGCAAUGGACGAAAGUCUGACGGAGCAACGCCGCGUGAGUGAUGAAGGUUUUCGGAACGUAAAGCUCUGUUGUUAGGGAAGAACAAGUGCAAGAGUAACUGCUUGCACCUUGACGGUACCUAACCAGAAAGCCACGGCUAACUACGUGCCAGCCGCCGCGGUAAUAC